rnacentral:lncRNA from 1 species
GAGGAGGAACGGGCUCCGGUCUCGGUUCCCUUCUCCUUGAGCGUCUCUCUGUGGACUAUGGCAAGAAGUCCAAGCUCGGGUUCACCGUGUACCCGUCCCCUCAGGUCUCCACCUCUGUGGUUGAGCCAUACAACAGUGUCCUCUCCACCCACUCCCUCCUUGAGCACACCGAUGUCGCUGUCCUGCUCGACAAUGAGGCCAUCUAUGACAUCUGCCGCCGCUCCCUCGACAUUGAGCGCCCAACCUACACCAACCUCAACAGGCUUGUGUCCCAGGUACUGCCCUGCAUCUUUCCUUGCAGCGCUAUGUACUCCAGUUAUUUGCUGUAAGAUCAAUGUAAUGUGCAAUUUGUCUUGACAUCAUGUGGCUAAUGCUAAUGUGCUGCAGGUCAUCUCCUCACUGACUGCCUCCCUGAGGUUCGAUGGUGCUCUGAAUGUGGAUGUCAACGAGUUCCAAACCAACCUGGUGCCCUACCCGAGGAUCCACUUCAUGCUUUCCUCCUACGCCCCGGUGAUCUCGGCCGAGAAGGCCUACCACGAGCAGCUCUCCGUGGCGGAGAUCACCAACAGCGCCUUCGAGCCGUCCUCCAUGAUGGCCAAGUGCGACCCGCGCCACGGCAAGUACAUGGCGUGCUGCCUGAUGUACCGCGGCGACGUGGUCCCCAAGGACGUGAACGCCGCGGUGGCCACCAUCAAGACGAAGCGCACCAUCCAGUUCGUGGACUGGUGCCCCACGGGGUUCAAGUGCGGCAUCAACUACCAGCCGCCCAGCGUCGUCCCGGGGGGAGACCUGGCCAAGGUGCAGAGGGCCGUGUGCAUGAUCUCCAACUCCACCAGCGUCGUCGAGGUGUUCUCCCGCAUCGACAUCAAGUUCGACCUCAUGUACUCCAAGCGCGCCUUCGUCCACUGGUACGUCGGCGAGGGCAUGGAGGAGGGGGAGUUCUCCGAGGCCCGCGAGGACCUCGCCGCGCUGGAGAAGGACUACGAGGAGGUCGGCUCCGAGUUCGACGAUGGUGACGAGGGUGAUGAGGGUGACGAGUACUAGAGAGGUUCAGGGUUCUUGCCUGGUGCCUUGGCAAUGCUUGAUUACUGCUGCUAUCCUAUGAUCUGUCCGUGUGGGCUUCUAUCUAUCAGUUUGUGUGUCUGGUUUUGAAAAACAUUUGCUUUUCGAUUAUGCAGGGUUUGCUUGUAGCUUUCGCUGCUGUGACCUGUGUUGUUUAUGUGAACCUUCUUUGUGGCAUCUUUAAUAUCCAAGUUCGUGGUUUGUCGUAAAACGAAGCCUCUACUUCGUAAAGUUGUGUCUAUAGCAUUGAAAUCGUUUUUUUGCUCGAGAAUAAUUGUGACCUUUAGUUGGCGUGAAACUAGUUUUGGAUAUCUGAUUCUCUGGUUCGCAAUCUUGAGAUCGUCGCUGCUUAGGUGAGCUAAGUGAUGUUCCUAAGUAAAUGCUCCUCACCAGAAUACGUAGCUGUGUGAAAAGAGAACGCGUGAAUACGUAGCUGUGUAAAGAUUGUGUCCCAAGUAAACCUCAGUGAUUUUUGUUUGGAUUUUUAAUUUAGAAACAUUCGACUGGGAGCGGCUAGAGCCACACCCAAGUUCCUAACUAUGAUAAAGUUGCUCUGUAACAGAAAACACCAUGGCAAAGUGCACAUAAACUUUCCCGUAUUAACACCAACUAGUAAAUUUCAACAAAAAUUCUAGAAAAAUUACUAAUUAUGUUAUCUUCAAAUUCAUUAUAUUUAGGGAGCAACAAAAAAAAAGACAAAAUGUUCCCGUGAGAGUAAGGCUAUGUUUAGUUCUAAGGGUGAAAAUUUUUGCCAUGUCAUAUCGUAUAUACGGACAUACAUUUAAAGUAUUAAAUGUUGUCUAAUAAUAAAACAAAUUACAACAUUCGACUGUAAACUGCAAGACGAAUUUAUUAAGACUAAUUAAUCCAUCGUUAGAAAAUGUUUAAUGUAAUACCACAUUAUCAAAUCAUGGAGCAAUUAGGCUUAAAAGAUUCGUCGCAAAUUAGUCGCAAUCUGUGCAAUUAGUUAUUUUUUAGCUAAUAUUUAAUACUUCAUAUAGAUGUUCAAACGUUCGAUGUGACGGGAUGAAAAAACUUGCCAGAGGAUCUAAUCAGGCCCUAAAAUUACUACUAUAUAUUGGAGGCCAAGUUUAAUUCCAAACUUUUUCUUCAAACUUCAAACUUUUCCAUCACAUCAAAACUUUCCUACACACAUAAACUUCCAACUUUUCACAUCACAUCCUUCCAAUUUCAACCAAAUUUUCAAUUUUGACGUUAACUAAGGCUGUGUUUAGUUGGAUCCAAAGUUUGGAUUUUGGUUUAAAUUAGAGAUGAUGUGACUGAAAAGUUGUGUCUAUAUGACAGGUUGAUGUGAUAGAAAAUGACUGAAGUUUGGAUCUAGACACAGCUUAAACAUAUGUUGAAUUUACCACUGAGAAUCUCACUGUCAUGUCCAGACAAAAUUUUCAGUCUCGCCAAACAAUUAAACAAAAAUACCUGUAGUGUACUCCUACGUAAAUAAAUAUCCGAGUUAGUUGGAAGUGCACAAAAAGCUUGGUUUUUCUGUUUCUGUUACAGAUAUAGGAAUUAGGAAAGCAUUGCAAAAGGGAUUCUCACAUCACAUUAUGCCAAUUUGAAGUAACAUCCUUGGUAAAAAGAUCAGAAAGUAUUCUCCAGCUAUUCUAUGUGAACUAGAUAUGGCAUUAGGUACAAAUAAUCAUGUUGACUUUGCUUCCUCCGGCUGCAAUUCUUGCACUGGGAUCCUAUGGAAGCAAGCAAGAAACUCUUUGUUCCCUUCCGCGCCCUUUAUCGGAGAUUCAAUCCAGCCCUUGUUGCAGAAUCCAAACUGCUCUACGCCUGAAAUUAUCCUAUCUAGCACCUGUGACCAAUCAAUGGAAUAUGUUGGUACUCCGAUCAGAACUCAAGGGAAGAAUCGUGAAGUAAAAUGAGGCAACAAUCAGACACUGCUGAAAUGGGAUCUUUUCAGGAUAUAAUCAAAGGAUUUGUUUGGGGGGUCUUUUCUUGCUUACAAGUGAAACUAUUUGUCUGGUGGAAUUUCAGGAAUAAACAGCAACCUUAUUUUAAGGAAGUAGCUCAUUCCUAUAUUCAAUGUGAAGCUUUAUGAUGGGGACGCACAAAAAAGGCAGCAAAUCAUAUUACCUCUUUAUGAACCAGAGGGUCCCGAACAAUCCCACCACCUCCUACCUGAACAGGAUAAAAAGGAUUUGCUGUUAGUGGCUUGCUUAUUUCUAUCACUGUGCAUGUAUGAAGAGAUCUGAAGGCUAUGAAAGUGAUUAUACAUUCUUUUCCAAUUGAUAUUCAAUCAAAACGUUCGAAAAGAAAAACUAAGACCAUUUGUUUGAUACCUGAGAUCGACGAGCUUCAAAUUGAGGUUUGAUAAGUGUAAUCAAUGUCGAGUCUGUCUUCAUUACUUUGACUACAGCAGGCAUAACCUUGAUUUCACAGGUAACGUCAGUGAACAAUGGAUAGCAUGUGCUUUAAUAAUUUAUCGAAGCUGCUGAUCUUAUCAUCUUAUAUUUGGAAAAGAUUGCAGAACAUCAAAAACAUCAUGAACUUGAACUACAUAGGUCAGUAGGAGCAUCGGCAGCCAUGGACGCCAAAAGCACACUAUUUUUUCCCAAUGCACUAUUACUUCAGCAAGAUGAGCUAAUUGACUAUACAAGAACUCUAUUGCAAUGAUACUUUUUUUUUGCUGGGUCGGCCAAAGAUUGGCCGGCCAAUUUCAUUAAGAUUGAGGGAAAAAAAGUUUUAAAUACAACGAUAUGAAGGAUGUCGCGCCGGUCUCAAGCAAUGAUACUUAGAUCAUUAUGCGCUAAAUACUAAACAUUGCUGGGAGGACAAUCAAGCAGCGUCGGUUUUCUAAGGAGACCUUGGAAGAGAAACUACAAACUAGACUAAAUCAUCUUCAUUGCUUAAUGAGAAAACAAUGCCAUCGUUAUACAGGCUAGACGUCACAAAUUAAUCUAAACCUUCAACUGCUGCAAAUAACAUUCUAAACCAGAUAAGACAAUAUCUAUAAGAUUACUAGAUAGAAACUGUAACUACAUAUAAGAUAACAGCCAUCUAGUCAAGCAACCAUAGUUAAGAUAACAGGGCACAUGAAUAUACAUUCCUGCAUAUGAUAUAUGCAGCAUACAAUAUAUAGAUGCAUUUAAGUACUGGAAGUCUAUGUAGUUGAUUGGGUCAAUUUUACUGUAUAUACCAGACAACUUUACAAGAACACACAGAUCAUGAUCCUAAGUAUAUCAUACUAACCAUACAAAUGAAUAGUACAAGGAAUGUUUUGUGCAGAAACACCAACUAAAGAACAGAACGAUGUAAAAUAACCCAGUGUAUUUUUCAAUAACAUAGGGAAAUGGUAUUCUCAGUUAAGAAACAGUGACAUAUUAUAAGAGCUCUGCUAAAAGGACUUGUGCAAGUGGACAAUCAUGCAGACAUUAAAAAGGCAGCACCAAAUCAUACCAAGAGAAUUGAGAUGAAUGACAGAUCCAGGGUCACCAAGUCAACCAGCUGUGGCAGUUCAGUAAGAUAUCUUAAAUUUGUACGUUCAAUUACUGAAACACGUUCAUGCACUCGAAUUUUUUCAGCCACCUGAAAUGAAGUGGAGCAUAUUAUAGUUCUGCUGCUGUAAUCUUGUAACAACUACCUGCAGCUUACAAAUAAUGUGAUAGCGGUUAGAUUAAAAAUAAACUUUUAAGGGAGUAGCGCAACCUGUCCAUAGCCAACAUCAACACCAUAUACAUGUGAUGCCCCAUGUUGGAGUAAACAGUCAGUAAAACCGCCAGUGGAUAACCCUGAAUCAAGGGCUACCUUUUCAUCACAGUCAAUACCAAAUUCUUUGAUAGCCGCCUCAAGCUUAUGACCAGCUCUGAAUUUGAUCAGGACAGAUGACACAAUUAUAAACUGGACAAACUGGAGUUACUUUUGUUUGAUAGCAAAGUAAGCCAAUCAGUUCGAGCAUCACCUACAUACAUAUUUUGGAAUUUCAGCCUUGAUUUCUAUGAUCGACUUGUCAGAUACUUGUGUUCCAGCUUUAUUCACAACCCUUCCAUCCACAAGGACCUUACCUGAAAUUUGACAUAACAGAGAAUGCUUUAUUAGGUUUGCUUUACAUACAAAAUAUACUUAUGUACAUGGUUAAAAAGUCAUAGCUGAAAGGUGAAGUGUGCAAUUUCCUGGUAGAUGUCAUAUGUGGCAAUAGCAUGAGAAACACAUUUGAGUACGCAUAUCAUACAAUCUGUUGCAGUAGGGAGAACUUCUAUAAGCUUUUCACUGAUGAAAUUCAAAGGGGGGAAGGGGCAAAUUUAUGGUGCUAAUAUUUUCUUUGUUCCAAACUCAGUUACUUUGAUAUAUUUGAAUAUGAUGUAAAGUUAUAUUGUAAAAGUGCCAUGAAACAUGAGGGCAGAUAAUUGUUGUUAAAUAAUGAUACAUUAAGCUUAAGGUGGCAUAAGUGUGCCUCUAAUAUAGCUUCCCCUUAGAAGUGAACAGUUCAUUUCGAUGUCCACUGAUCUUAGGACAAAAUAUAUAUGAUCAAGUGUCACAGACCAUUCUCAUAUGUCAGGAAAGUUGAAUAAUCAUGACAUGAUUAAGGCAUGCAUUGAGUUUUGCAUUAUUUGGCAUGACAUGAUAGCUGAGAUUGCCUUUUGAAGCAGUGUUAUUACCAUAUGAAGUAUAAAGUGCCAAACCAAUUCAUAGCUGUAAAGAUCUAAAUGCAUAAAAUCAAUGAAGUAAAGGACUAACCCUGAAGAAUCCAUGAUUGGAUGUACGUCCUGCUAUACUGUUGAAAUCUCUCAAGGCACACUUCAUCCAAUCGUCUUUUCCUGAGUAAGAAGACCAAAAGUGACAACGUUGGUUGAACAAACUAAUUGCACGAUACAAAAUACCAUCACAAUAAUGAUAUUGAGCCAUUGCCGCUACUUUCUUUACGGUAAUUGAGUCUCUGAUUUAACAAAACUAGGAUAUUGACCAUUUAACUUUAAGAAACAAAUUGUUAGAUUUAAAGAGAAUUUCUUACACUUCACACUUCUAAAUAAAAACACUGGAGUAUAACCUCUCAAUGUGGCCACACCAUGACAGAGCAGGCACCGCACGACUGUUGUAUGCACAAUAUCAACAACUAGUUUGCGAAUGAAGAAACACACAGAAAAUAGGGAAUCUGGAACCAAAGCCUACAUAAGCAGAGCCACAUAACAUUUUGCUAUAUGAACCAAAGCUUAAGUUACUCGGCACUAGAUAUGAACUACCCGGCAUUACCUAACACAAGCACAUAAAAGCAGAUUUGAACAAAGUAAAACAACAGUGCAGUGAAAAAAUAAAUAAAUUCAGAGGCCUUACUUCUUGGCGAGCUGAAGCUUUUGGGUUCUCACCGCCGCGAAAUCCCGGGACGGAGAGCAGCAGGUCGGCCUGACCCCAAUCAGCCUAACUGAGAAAGCAAAAGCCACACCUUAAUUAACCAUUUGAAAGCUCUCUUCCAGAAAUCAAGAAAUUGGAGGCAGCACAUGCUACCUAGCUCCCCUCUCAACAUCUUCCCAACUACGCAAAACAAACACACCACAGGUUCAGGGAUGAAAAGGGAUAAACCGGUUAACUAGUACUCCUAUUCACCACUUGAUUCCCCAACCAAUACACCCUGCCUGCCCUGUUCUUUGUUUCCGAUUUCUGUAAGAGCCAGGCUAUCCACAGAUAACAAGAAGAAAGAUUUGGUCUCGCAACUACUAGAACAGAGGAGGCUAGCGAGAGAGGAGGAGGAGGAGAAGAAAAGCAGGAGAGAGAUGGGAAGAGCUCUUACGCUGGUGGAAUCGGAGCCUGGAAGCCACCAUCAUCAUCGCCUCGCCUCCUCCUCCUCCUCCCGCUCCACUCCCCCUCCGAGCCAAAACCCUAAUCUCAGUUACCCUAUCUCAGUUCGCCGACGAGAUAUAUAUAUGCUGUAGGAGAAGGAGAAGCGGCGCGGAUGGCGGGCGGCGGCGGCGGCGGCGGCGCCCCUUCUCUCCUCUCGCUCGGUCCUGAGAAGCGAGAGAGAGAGAGAGAGAGUUAGAAGAUGUGGUUUGGUUCAACCACAGCCAGGGGCAAAAACGUCCGAGGAAAAAAAUGGAUGAAAAAUGUUUUGCAAACGUAUGGAGAAAAAUGAUACUAAUAUGUUAACUUCAAAAGCAGGUUUCGGUCAAAUGCUAUUAUGAGAGUGAGCUUUGUUAAACUGUCACUCUCAACCAAGGGCUACAUGCCAGAAUGCUACUUUGGACAAAUUGCCCCUGUCUCCUCCAUCCACCUCCUCCAACGCCGUGGAUGAAGUGUACGACCUCCUUCCGCUGGCCUUCUUCAUCUCAAUGGUUUGGAGGACGAUGACGACGAACACACGGAUCCGGUUGAGGAUGUCGAUGAGGUCGCAGAUCUGGCGUCGCCACUGAUGAGCGCAUGGAUCUGUCGUCGGCAUAGAUGAGCACAUAGGUCUACUGUUUGCCGACAAGAGCGUAGUUCUGUCGGCCGCCACCGACGAGCGUGUGGAUCCAUCGCCACAGUUGAUGAGCGCGCGGAUGUAAUGGCUGAUAACGAUAAGCGGGUAGGUCCACCGGCCACCGUCGGUCCGUCGCCGAUGAGCGCACGAGUUUGCUGGUCGUCGCUGCCGAGGGCACGGAUCAAACGACCAUUGCCAACGACCGCGUGGGUCAGCGCCUCGCCGUCGCUGUGUCCUCGUCACGAUGGAGGUGGAGUAUAUUCGGACAAUAUAGCGUGUAGCCUUCGGUUGGGAGUGGUAUUUUAACGAAGCCCACUCCCAAAAUUGUAUUUGAGUGAAACUCAUUUUUGAAGAUGACAUAAUAUCAAUUUUCUUAAAUGGAAGAAACAAUGAAAAUGACAAUGUAGCGAAUGCCAGCAGGUUGAGAGUGGCAUUCAAGCGAAUCUCAACGAUAACAUUCUAGCGAAACCGGUUUUUAAGGAUGUCACAUGUGAAUUUCUCGCUGUAGGAUGGCUGCAUCCCGAUAGGUGGGACCCACAUGGCAUUGGCGCUGCGCCAUUCGCCAAUCAAGCCAAACAGCAAGAAGAUUCAUCAACUUUAGAUAGAUGCACUUUACAUUCAGACAUUCAUAGUCAACCAUAGAAGAUUCAUCAAAUGUCAGCAGUUGACAGCAUCACUUAACCAGCGCUACAUACACUUUACAUUCUCUGAAUUCCAAAUUAAUGCCUUUGGAGAAAGAAAUUAUUUAGACAAUCAAUGGAGACAAAAUGAUUAUAUUAUUAUUAUUAUUUCUAAUGUUGCUUUGAAUUGCCAUCAUGAACAGAAAUUUUAAGCGAAGGAGCUAAACAGUUGUUUGUUACAGAAUAUCAUCGACUGAGUUCGCCUUGAUUGAUAGAGUCAGCAUAGCAGAUUCAUGUCUUCAGUUGACAGGAUCCUUAACCAUCAUGACAGAUGACAACCACAUACUCUGAAUUCCAAAUCGACGCCUUUCGGCGAAGAAAAUUGCUCAGACAUUAAUCAAAUGAAAGGUAGAAAAAUAUGGUAUAUUACUCAUGUUGCUCUGAAUUGCAACCACUGGAUUAAAAAUGAACAAGAAGUUAUUCAAAAAACAAAUCUAUCUACCAGCGUAAUUUACAUGAACAGGUGCUCAAGGUUUAAAAACAGAAAACUCCAUAUGUUGGUAAAAGAAAAUUAAAAGUACAAGGCCGGGAGGCAAACACAAACUCCUGUGUUCGCAGUGGUUCUUCUCAUGCUACAAUUAGUACACAACAUCUCUGGACAGGGAAACCCCACUCCAAUUCAGACAAACUCAUGACUCAAACAAGCCAUUCUUGUAGAAGAGAGUCCAAUCCGAGUCGUCGGACGACACGAGCUCGAAUCCUUCUGCUCUCAUUGACUCUGCAACUGAAACUGGGUUUGAAGAAGGCUUACUGUCAUUACACAUUUCACCACCACCACCACUACAACUGAACUCAACCGAUCCAAAGCCACAUGCUGCAGCCGUUUGGUCGCCACAUUCCUGCAGGCAAGAAGGGAUGACUGACUGAAGCUCGGUAUCGCGCAAAGCCUCUUCAUUGCCUUGAAAAACUGGCCCAUCCUCAUCAUCAGACCACCACUUGCAGCAGUCCAGAUCACCCAUGUCAAACAUCCUGCUAACCAGCCCUUCUCGCCAAGAGAUCCGGGGGUCCGCAAGGACCGGUUUCUGAAAACUUGCACUCUUCUCCCCCUUCAAUUCUAUGCCACAAGGUGAUCUCUUAAAAGAGGUCAAGUCUAUGGAUUCCAGAGACAUUGGAGCACCUGCAAACUGGAAGCUAAGGUCAGGCAAUGGUGCAGGCAAGGCACCAUUUCCGCAAUAAUCGGCAUCCCCGGGCCUUGGGGACAGAGCCAUCAUCUCGAGACAUUCGACCACCGGAUCCAUUUUCGUCAAAGGGCGACUGCAAGUCCUCGUCAGCCCUGAGCACUUGCUGCUCCAUGACUCACCGGAGAUCGCUGUCGGAUCAGCUGCCGAGCCAUAGCUGCAGCUGCCUGGUCCUUGCUGGGAACACAAGGACUUCAGUCCUCUAGAGGACAGUGAUUGUGAUGCCCUCUUCACAAUGAGUGAGAAGGGACUAAGGCUGUCACCGGUGCUUGGCGUCUUCUGCAGGGGAAGAAAUCCUGAUGACGGUGUCGUCUCGGACAAUUCCGAUGCCGGCGUGCCAAGGUCCAAUAGACCAUUGAGCACAGGUGAGCUCAACAGCCCCGUGGAUUUGGGGGAGAUUUGCCAGAACGCAUCCUCCAAAGAGCACCUCGGGACAAAGAUCUCAUCGCCGAGAAGAUCCACGCCGCGCUCCUCGCGCGGCGACGGUAGCCAGUUGACGGAUGCCUCGUUGGUGCAUUUCGUCGAGCACGUUCCGGGCACCUCCCCCGACGGUGAGGACAGCCAGUGGAUCGACGCCCUGGACGGGUCGGGGUCGAGCUCCUCGCUCGCCCCUUCCCCGGCGAUGGCCAGGAUGCCCCUGGGCCGGCACUUGCGGCGGUCGGCGACCCCAGGCACGACGUGGUGCCCCGCCGCGAAGCACGCCGGCGUGGCGGACCCGCACGCCAGCACCUCGGGCGAGAUCGACGCGUGGAUCGGCGGCGUCGCCCCGGACACCGCCGGCGUGGCCCCCGCGUCCGCCUUCCUCUGCGGCGUCAGGGCCUCGCCAAGAAGCGGCAGCCCCCUCGGCGGCGGCGCAUGCUUCCUCGCCGUCUCCGUCUCCGCCCUCCCCCUCGUCAUCAUCUUCUCCACCACCCGGGUCCUCGACUCCUGAUCCGCGGCCGCCACCACCCGGCCUCGCCGCCCGAUCUCCGGGCGGGGCUUCUUCACCUUGGGGGACGCCACGGGGGUCCUCGACCUGGACCCGGACGACGCGGACGACACGAGGAACCUGAAGCACCCGCCCCGCGCGGCGGAGGCGUCACCGGAGUUGAGAUCGGUGAGCGGGCUACGGCGACGCUGGCCGCCACCACCAGCACCAGCGACAGCAUUCUUGGCGGUCUUGGGCGCCGUCCCGGGGGAGGGGGACGGGGAAGGGGAGGCCCUCCUCCUCGGCUUGGACGCGGAGGAGGCGGGCGCUGGCUUGGACAUCCUCGGCAUCAUGGCGGCGGUGGGUCAGGGGGUUGGUGGCGGCGGUGGCGGCGGCGGCGGCGAGGGCAUUGGGGGGAUUUGGUUUGGUUUGGAGAGGAGAGGAGAGAAUCGAGGAGAUAGCCGUUGGAGGAGGAGGGUUAAGUGUCAACCGUCGUCAGAUGGAGGCAUUCAAAGUUGGUGUAACGGUAAAAGGGGAGAGGAUUCCUCGCCGAAUUUAACUACGCUAGCACGGUUUACUCGUGAGUCGUGACACACAAGAUUUACGGCCCAAGCGAAUAAAUCAAACAGUAUAUUUGUAAAUAAAAAAUAUUUUUUUACUAAAACUUUUAUAUAUAUUUUUAGUAAUAUAAAAGUAAAGGCUGAAAAAAUAAGCAUCGAUGAAAAAAAAAACCUCAAAAUCAACCUCAAAAAAUUUAAAUUUUAGCUAAUAAGUAUAAGUAUAAGCGAAAAGAUGAACCCUUUAAUUAUUAUAAAUUACGGAGUAGAGUCCGGUUUAUUUGGUUGAUAAUGUAAUAAUCUUUGAUCGGGAUGAAUUACUCUGUGUCUCUGUGUUAAACAGGUCUCCACAGUAUUUUCGGAGUAAAAUUUAUUCGUGAAAUCUCAGGUUUUUGGAGUACGAUAAUACAAAAGUUGUAGGCUAAAAUGUUUCAUGAAACCAAGAUUAAUGAAUGUAUCGUAUACCUCGUAUAAUAUUUUUUAAAAAAAACAAAUUACCAUUAUAAAAGUACUCCGUAUUUGUUAUUUUUCUAAAAUACAUAGCCUGUGUUUAGUUCACACCAAAAUUAAAAGUUUAGUUAAAAUUGGAAUGAUGUGACGAAAAAGUUGAAAGUUUAUAUUUAUAGGAAAGUUUUGAUGUGGGCGAACUGGCCAGCUCAAUAAGUACGGUAAUUCGAAAAUUUUUAAGUGAGCCUAUUACUCAAUUUAGUGUUUACGUGAUAUGUCACGUCAACGUCACGCAUUAUUCACAUCAACACCAUGUAGGAUUUUUCUUGCUAAUUUGAAAACAGAAUUAAAUGAUAUUAUUUAAUAAGUUUUGGGACCUAUAUCUAUAUUUUAUUUUAGAGUACAACGAUAUAAAUGACACGGAUGAAUAAGUUUAGGACCGACUGUAUAAUUUACCAUAACAAACUCAGGUUAUGCAUUAAUCAUAACUAUUAUUAGAGGAUUUGUGUAAUUUACUUGAUAUUUUUUUAUUGAAUUUCGGUUUUCUGAAAGAUCAGCAAGAAUUGUUACUGACAACCGACGCACCGUGCUAAAGAAAGAGGAAAACCAUUAUCCUCGAGUGUUGUGAACGGAUCGUGACUUUACUCGUCUAUCAAUGACAAGGUCAAAUUGUACGGUACGCCAUUGUUAAAUUGUUUUAUUCCUUAAUUAUAUGUCUCCAUUAGAUUGGUAAAUGAGUAAUUUGUCUCUACUCUCUAGGAUCUAUGUGCACUAACGUACGAAGCUAAGGUUGACAUGAUCCCAUUAUCACGUUUAUAAAGCAUUUUUUUAAUGAUAUUAUUGAUCUGGAAUUCAUGUUAUUUCAGAAAGAUGUGGCGGCCGAGAUCCACCAACUUCACUGAAAAUUAUCGAACCACCUACAAUUUCUUUUACCCUAAAAAACUUUGAUUUUUAUAUUAAUUGAAAAAAGUGCCAAAGAAAUAAUGAACAGAACUUCAAUUUCAGUCAAAAUUCCCCCCCAAAAGUUCUGAACCAAAUUUAUUUUCUUAGUGUUAAAUUAUGUGGCCAUUUUGACAACAAAAGAUUAUUUUUGGUUUAACUAUCUUAAUUAACAAAGUGUAAUUAUCCUUAAAAAAGACAGCGUAAUUCUACGAACAUUGAACUCCGUAUAAUUUUUUGCAUCCUUUUUCACCGGGCUCGGCGAAGCGGCAGCCAAUUAUUUUUAAGGAUCAAUACAUUAACAAGUAAGACUCUUCACAGUGCUCCUAGCUGGAGGGUUACCUCGUUUGUCAGUGCUCCUAGCUAGAGGGUUACCUCGUUUGUCAGCUAGUUCAAAAUCUGAUGUGGAUGAAAAAAAGGUGGCGGGACCCAUAUCUUUGCUAAGGAAUGCAUCCCUAGCUAGGGUACGGUUUCCUCAUGCCAAAAGGGAAACUGUGAGUGGUCCCCUCACAUGCUUGCGUGCAUGGGAGGGAGAGAUGGAAGUGAAAAGAGAGAUGAGUGGGGCCUACUAAUAUAUAUAGGUGGGACCCACUAACAUAGAUAUUGUCUAAGACACAUGCAUUGUGAGGUGUGGUUCUCUAACCGGUUUCUAGUCUAGCUGGAGGCCUUGGGCUCCUCAAGUGCGCUACCGCACUUCUACUGCCCUAACAACAAACAUGGUUGUGAAGUAGUAUGAACUACUCCCAAGAAAAAAAGGUAAGUGUGUGCUGGUGGAAUUAUGGCCCACCAGAUUUUAAAUUUACAUAUACGGGUACUCUUUCAAUAUAUAUUUUGUAAGAUCAGACACAUGCUACGAAUCUCCAACUUUGUAAGUGUGAUAAGAGGCGGUCUUCAUUAAGUGGUAUAUAUACUCCUACAUUUUGUGCAACCGAAGAAAAAAAAACUGGGUCCCCUCGAUAAAAAAAGGGGAAAAUAUACUGCUCCCUCCAUCCCAAAAUAUAAGAAGUUUUAGAGUUAGACACGGUUAUUAAGAAAGUUUGUAGAAGUGAGUGGUGGAGGGUUGUGAUUGGAUGAGUAGAGGAGGUAUGUAGGAAAAAUGAAUGGUGGAGAGCUGUGAUUGGUUGGGAAUAGAAUGUUGGUGGAGAAGUUGUUAUAUUUUAGGACAAAUCCUGAGGGCUAAAAGUUGUUAUAUUUUAGGACAUGGGAGUACUAAGUUGCAGGGCUCGUUGCAGUCUCAAAUUCAACAACAAAAUUUUCAAAACAGACUAAUUUUUAAAAAUUGAAUCUUCAGGCAGACCCCUCCCCACACACUACCAACCCCUACUAUAUGCGGAAUUACUAUUGGGCGAGUGAUCGCCCAGGGCGAUCGGAUCCGGAUCCCUCUCCCUCCACCUGGUUUCCUUUUUUUGGCACCGUAUUACUUUACUAUUUUAGUAAUUUUAUGCACCUAAAGUUUGUAAACCUCAAGUUUACACAUCUAAAGUUUAGAAACCUAAAGUUUAUAAGUCAAAAGUUUAUAUAUCCGAUUCAAAUUUGAAUUUGAAUUCAAAUAUUUUUAUAUAUAGUAUUUCUAUACAUCUAAAGUUUAUAUACCCAAAGUUUAUAAGUCAAAAGUUUACAUACUUGUUUCAAAUUUGAAUUUGAAUUCAAAUAUUAGUUUAUAGACCCAAAGUUUAUAAGUCAAAAGUUUACAUAAUCAUUUCAAAUUUGAAUUUAAAUUCAAUUUUUUUAAUAUAUAGUAGUUGUAUUUCUAUACAUAAAAUUUUUCCAACUUUAUUUUUUUAUUUUUUAAAUUUGUAUGGUGUACUGUAUUAGGAAGAGAAGAAUUGGGGGGGGGGGGGAGAGAAAAGGGGAGAGAAGGUAGCGUAUAGGGAGAGGGGUGGGCCGGUGAUCGCUAGGAGCGAUCACCCCCCCAUUAGCCGUCCCUUACUAUAUGUGCUGAGUUCUUUUCUUUGGGUUCCCAUUGCUUAACGGUGUGUUUUUUUAAAAAGGUUUUCUAUACGGAAGUUGCCUUAGAAAAUCAUAUUGAUCUAUAUUUUUUAAAAGCUAAUACUUAAUUAAUCACGUGCUAAUGAACCAUUCCGUUUUCCGUGCAGAGUAACUCCACCUCCCGAACACAGCUUAAUCGGGCUUCUUACAAAAGUUUACUUUUUAUAAAACAAUUGCAAGAAAUGUGUUUGCACAAAUGAAAUGAUGAAUGUAAUUUAGCUUCACAAAUGAAAUUGCAAGAAGUGUGCCUCCGCAUGUACUGUGUUUAAAAGUAAUAAUCAACGAAGUGAGCGUAGCUUAACUGGCAAGGUUUCUCGUGGUGGAACCAUUUUUCUCGCGUUCAAGUUCUACAUUUGAAACAUGGGUACUCGCAUGUAGAUGAGCGAUAUAUGCCCGUCGACAUCGAGACGCCUAUGGUGAUUUCGUGAAUCUCUACAUAUCUCGUCCCAGUAUUUUGGAGAUGCUUAUAGAGAUAGGAUCUGCAUGUGUGCGUGCGUUUAUAGGGGUGAUUAUCCAAGAACGUUCGUGUAAUUGUCCGCUCACGAACACGUAAUUAUCAUGGUAGUUAUUGUGAUUAAAUUUUUUUAUGCGAAGGAUAGUGUGAUUAUCAUUCCCUUUUUUGAGCAGAUUUUAUUUUGCAUGGAUUUUUGGAAGUGAUUAAUAUUUCUUUCAUCGAAAGUGGAUUAGCGUUUCUGUUUCACAUCUUAUGUUUAACAUUUUUAGACAUGAUUUUCUUAACAUAUUAGCAGCUCUAUAUUCACAAAGCCGGACCAAAUUUAACGAAACUUUAUGUUAAAAUUAUUACUAUCUACUUAAAUUGCCAAACUUUAUACUCAAAAACUUUCGACAGCAACGAAAAAGACUUUACGCACGUAAACUUUAUGUUAAAAAGUCAUAUUAAACUUUCUACUCAUAGACUUUACACAUAUAUAAACUUUGCACGUACGAUUAAACAUUCGGUAUGGGUAGUUUAUACAUAGAAAUAUGAAUUAUAGGAACUCUAUAUAUAAAUUUUUAGUAUAGAAAAUUUAAACAUAGAAAUCAUUCAAAUUGGAAAAAACAAAGUUUUUGUUUGGAUAUGAUGGACAUUAUUAUAAUUUAGUAUUUCAAAAUUAUGGUUUAUUUCUUAUAGUGAAUAUGGUGAGAUAAUGCUUUUUUAGGUUUUUUAAAUAAUAAAUAAUCUGCCCGCGCAACUGCGCGGGCUUUCUUCCUAGUUCAUUUAAAAAAUAUUGUGUAAUCAGCAUCUUUAUUAUCGGUAAAUCUAAUUGGAGAGGCCUCUCCAAUUAUAUGAAGUAUAGGAACGGGACCACCUAUACAUUUGUCGACAAAUUUUCUUCUAAAAAUUUGACAGAUGUAAUUAUAGUACAAUCAUAGUGUAAUUACACUGUAACUUAUAUGUAAUUACACCGUAAUUUGCAUGUAACUACAGUGUAACUUAUAUGUAAGUUUCACAUAAUCUUGAAUCGUUAGAUCUAUUACAAGAUUUGUUUUGGUGAGGAAGAAAACAAAUCAUAGCACACACAUAUGUGAAAAAAUUUGUUCCCACGACCUCCAUUUUACCGAAAUAACAUGUUACGGAGAGAUUUUUGAAAGUUACAUACAAGUUACACUAUAGUUACAAUGUAAUUACAUGCAAGUUACAGUGUAAUUACACUACGAUUGUACUGUAAUUAUAUCUGUCAAAUUUUUGGGGAAAAAAUUAUCGACAGAUAUAUAGCUAAAUCGUAGAUGAAAGAUUAGAAGUUGGGCUUAGAAAAUUCAAAAGGGGAGUACCUAUACAUCUUUCGAAAGAUUUUUAUAAUCGUAUCACACAGAUUUUUAAUCUUUGUAUUAAAAUCCGAUAGAUAUAAUAAAAAGCAAAAAGCAAUUAAGAAACACCAUAAUGAACAUUAAAUUACCAUAUCCUCAAGAAAAAGACCAAAUCCAAUACAAAAUUUAAAAUUUACAUGUGAAGAUUCAAAAAUUACAGUGUAACUUACAAAAGUUACAGUGUAAGUUUCAUAAAUUACACUGUAACUUACAAGAAAAUACACUGUAAAUUUAAGUGAGAAAAUCGAGUGAGAGAUAAGAAAAAAUCUUUCGAGUGAGAUAUAGCAAAAUCGAUUCAAAAGAGAACGUCAUCCAUCUGACCCAUCAAGCCCAUAUGAAUCAGACCCAUGUUUUUUACGCAGUGCAGGGGGCGCCGUCUCUGGCUAAUCCUGGCCUUCCUUGUCCGAUUCGGAUUUUCGGACGCGUAAACGGCAGCAUCUCGGAUCCGAUUCCAUCCCAUCAAAAUUCCCUUGUCCGAUUUCUAUUCCGCGCGACGCUUUCCCGCCAUAUAAGGGUGCCAUCCAUCACGCCUCCAGCAAAUUACAGCAGCCAGAGUUGAGAAGCGCAACCUAAUUGCGAGCAGCUAGCGAGCGAGCUCGAUCGCCUCGAUCUCCUCGCCUUCUCGGCAUGGCGAUCGAGUUCUUGCCGAAGCUGGCGUCCUGCUUCCGGCCGCCGUCGUCGUCGUCGUCGUCGUUGUCGGCGGCGGCGGCGAGGCGAGGACGGCGCCAGGAGGCGGCGGCUCGCCGUCGCCCAGACAAGGCGGAGAAGAGGCGGUGGGUGGACGAGCAGGUGGGGCUUCACCUGGCGGCGAGGGUUUGGGACGGCUACGGCUACGGCGCCGGCUACGGCAAGGGCGGCGCCGUCGACGUGAGCCGCUACGGCGACAUCGGCCUGGAGGCGGCGCUGGGCUACGAGUUCGAGCGGAGGUGGUGGUUCGCCGAGAUGGCGCGCCUGCUCGCCUUGGUCGACGAGGACGACGCGGCGGCGGCGGCGGCAGGCAACAGCGGCGACAACACGCCGGCGGCGAAGGGUGUGUCUGGAAGUAGUAGUAAUUAAUUAGUUGGUUCGUCCAGCUAUUGGGUGUCUCUCUCUGGAGGCCUAAUAUGUUGUUGUUAAUAGUGUUCAUCUUUUAGGUUUCUGUCAGUAUAUAUUUUGCAGUGUUCAAUUGUUCAUAGUUCUGUAAAAAAAUAAAAGUUGUACGAGACUACGAGUACACUUUUCCAAAGCGGAACUGCUAUCCGACUGUCGACAGUUUUUACGAGCGAAAACUGUCAAAUUUUUUAGCCAUUGAUUCCGCUCUAAGAUUUGUGCUAAGAUAUUUUGCUAUCGGAUCUAAACCCUCUUUUCACAAGCUAGUCCCAUCAUCACAUGUUUAUGGCAGAUUUGUUCUAGUUAUAUCUAAGUUACAUGCUAGUUCAAUUGUAGUUACAUUGUAACUAUAGUGUAACUACACUCUAACUACAUUGUUAUCUCUAUAUAAAUUAGAUAUAAAGUUGCAUAUAUUAUUUUAAUACAUAUAUACAAGUUAUUAUUAUUAUAGUAUAGUUCUAGGAAAAUUAUAUACUAUAUAGUUAGAUUUGAAGGUUUUUUUAAAAAAAAAACACUCGACGGUUUUUCAGCUAAUCCCUUUCCAAAGUACGUAUACUAUGAACAGUCCCUUGUUAACUAUAAAAACUGGAAUAACAGAAAACGAAUUUAACAACCACACACACAUAUAUAUAUCGAUGACUAAUACUCAAUUAUAGUGGAAAAACUAAACAUACGAGCUAGAACUUACAAAAAACUGAAGAUGCGAUCGGGUCCGUGUCGCUCGGAGCCUCAGGAGUUUAACUUCAUAAUGUAAUUGGGGUGAUAUGGCUUAGUGAGAGAAGUGAAAAAUAACAUUAAAUGUUUUCACUGAGGUUGAGCUUAGCCUAGAAACAAGUAAUAAGUUCACUAUUCCCAGAAACAAUUUUCACAUAGCCCUUAGCCCCUAUUCUAAACUACACUUGCAUGAAAACAAUUUGAUUUAGUUCAUCGGGCGAGGGGGGAUCAAGAACCACACGUGAUAAUCAUGUAUAGGAUAGUUGCCCAUGUAACACAUGAUUUUUAUAGCUAGGUGACUUUCUUAAGAGGCCGCUCAUGAUAAUGCAACUCUUUUCAUGGCCCAUUGUUUGCUGGGUGGUGGCUCAUAGUUCAUUGGGCCAUGGUCCACCACACAAUGGUCGUGGCCUAUAGUCUAUUUAUUGGGCCUUAGCUCACCAUAUGCUAGGUCGUGGCGCACAGUCAUCGAGUAAGGUAUUUGCCAUAAGCUAGGCCAUGGCAUACAAUUAUGCUUGGCCUCGGCCCACUAAAUGUUAGGUCAUGUUGUUCUGUUCCUCGGACCAUACCCUAUUAUAUGUUGAGCCUCCAGUUAUUUGUGACAAAAUAAGUAGUUGGUAAUGGUUUACCACCUUAGUGUGUGAGAAACCACAAAUUACUUCACGUCGUACCCACACCAUCAGGUUGUCCACAUAGCGGCACUGAAGUAGCCGAUUCUUGAUGGUUUUGGUUUGAUGAGUGAUAGUCUAGAGCAUCACUAAUUUAUGGCAAUGGAAAAAUUGUCUACCAUUUAUUAUGAUGGAGGCAGCCUUUUGUCAGAUAAGGUGAUCCUAGAUGGAGCUUUUGCACUGGAAAUCUUUCAUCACAAGAUAGUCACAUAAUACGAUUUGUGACGGAAUUUCGCUAUUUCUAGCUUGAUGCAAGUACCUUGUUAAGGAAGACUAGAACCAGUGUAGUGUUAUAUCAAUCCUCUCUUCAUAUACAAUCCCUUUUAAGUGUUUUCUUCUCCAUGCUUUCUCCAAAUCCCUUAUGUUCCCAUACGGUACUUUCAUGAUUUGUAUCAUUUGUUUGCACCUUUUUUCUCUUAUAGCAGAGUUCUUCACACCCAUUUUAUUUUUGUUCCUUGUCUUCAUCCUAACCCUUCUUUAUAACUCCUCUUCUUCCACAUCUGAUCCCUUUUCUACUACCUCUACUUAUUAUUUUGCUUUUGCAAGCCACUGCAUUAUUGUUGCUGUUUCCUCUCCUUCCCCCUUGGCAUGCUUAGUUCUCAUCUCAGUCUCAAAAAGUGCAGAUUGUGCAUGUUCUCUUGCUACAUCUUCCUCACCCUCUCCCAGAGAAAUAUUACUCGCUACAUCUGUUGCAGCUAAAUACUAUUACCUCCAUAUUUUAAUGUAUGACGCCGUUGACUUUUUAUCCAAUGUUUGACCAUUCGUCCUAUUCAAAAAAUUUAUGCAAUUGCCAUUUAUUUUAUUGUGACUAGAUUCAUCAUCAAAUGUUUUUUAAACAUGAUAUAAAUAUUUUCAUAUUUGCACAAAAAUUUUGAAUAAAACGAAUGGUCAAACGUUAAUCGAAAAG